CCUACGGGAGGCAGCAGUCGAGAAUCAUUCACAAUGGGGGAAACCCUGAUGGUGCGACGCCGCGUGGGGGAAUGAAGGUCUUCGGAUUGUAAACCCCUGUCAUGUGGGAGCAAAUUAAAAAGAUAGUACCCCAAGAGGAAGAGACGGCUAACUCUGUGCCAGCAGCCGCGGUAAUACAGAGGUCUCAAGCGUUGUUCGGAAUCACUGGGCGUAAAGCGUGCGUAGGCUGUUUCGUAAGUCGUGUGUGAAAGGCGCGGGCUCAACCCGCGGACGGCACAUGAUACUGGGAGACUAGAGUAAUGGAGGGGGAACCGGAAGUCGCGGUGUAGCAGUGAAAUGCGUAGAUAUCGAGAGGAACACUCGUGGCGAAGGCGGGUUCCUGGACAUUAACUGACGCUGAGGCACGAAGGCCAGGGGAGCGAAAGGGAUUAGAUACCCGUGUAGUC
rnacentral:rRNA from 1 species